AUACGUAGGGUGAAAGCGUUAAUCGGAAUUACUGGGCGUAAAGCGCGCGUAGGUGGCUAAUUAAGUCAAAUGUGAAAUCCCCGAGCUUAACUUGGGAAUUGCAUUCGAUACUGGUUAGCUAGAGUAUGGGAGAGGAUGGUAGAAUUCCAGGUGUAGCGGUGAAAUGCGUAGAGAUCUGGAGGAAUACCGAUGGCGAAGGCAGCCAUCUGGCCUAAUACUGACACUGAGGUGCGAAAGCAUGGGGAGCAAACAGGAUUAGAUACCCUGGUAGUCCAUGCCGUAAACGAUGUCUACUAGCCGUUGGGGCCCUUGAGGCUUUAGUGGCGCAGCUAACGCGAUAAGUAGACCGCCUGGGGAGUACGGUCGCAAGACUAAAACUCAAAUGAAUUGACGGGG
rnacentral:rRNA from 1 species